rnacentral:lncRNA from 1 species
GAUAUUUUUCAUGAAUUAAAUGUUUUUGUGCAUGUUUUUAAUUGUUUAAAAAUGCUUCUGACUUUUCAAAAAUCAUGAAAUUUUUUGUCUAAGGUCCUUUGACCUUGUUUGACCUAGGAUGAAUCUCUUGGCCAUUUAUUUGGUGUUUUAAAGAGAUUUUAGGUUUUGACCAAAUUGAAUUUUUAUGCAUUUUUAAUUUGAUUUAUAAUUGAUU